CCGACUCGCUCGAGCUGAAUAAACGAACACAAUGGGCGCAGAUGGAAAUCCCUUAUAUCACUAAAAUUCAAUCCAACAUAAUAUGCUGUUCGCAAACUAGCUUCUGCAGAACCAAUUUGAGGAGGACGUUACGUUGUCUCGGGAAGAGCGUCCGCGGCCAUGCAAGGUUGUGCGUUGUGCGUAAACACUGGCGAGAAGGUCUUUGUUGGACUAAAAUGCUACACACUCGACUGCUGUUCCUGUAGGAGGGACUAUCUGGACUACAGUAUUUGAAGACCCCAGUUUUAUUCCUAUGGACUCCGAAAAGCUGCUCAACGUGUUUUGUGAUCUCUACAUAUAUAGACCUGUCAUUUUUUGGACAAUGUGUACUAUAGAAGAAUGUGAGGAGUGAAGUGCCGUAACAUCAUUGGAUUGUAAGCCGAUUAUAAGCCGACGAUAAGCCAGCAAACCACCAGCGAGAGUUUGCAUUCUGCAAUGCUGACACACGCACAGAGACUCCUUUAUAUCUUUUGGGCAUUAGGGCAGAACUUUUGCAUUCUCGAUCGGAAUAGAAAAAUAGUACCGAAAGAAACAGUAAUUUUGUUUUCCGUUGUAGGAAAAUGCCACAUAACAGUGACUUUCCUUAUAUAUUCAGUUCUAGCAAAACUGACACUUUCAGCUCUGUCGACGAUUCAGUAGUAUUUCGUAUUCUCCAGCAGAAUUUUUGCAAUCUGUAGCGUGUGUUUGCUGUCAACAAAGGGUUACCUGAAGUGGUCCUGAAAUUACUUGUUCUCCCUCGAGGCUGGCACUUUUUAAUUGAAUUGAAUUGAAUGAUAAUGCUUUUUGUAUGUAAUGCUUUUUUGUGUCCUCAGUGUUGUAAGUUUGUGCAUAAUUUAUGUAAUUCAAGCAUAAGUGUCACCCCCCCCCAUAUUUUGCACAUAAACGAGGAGAUUAAGCCGAGGCAAGCUACAAAUUCACUAGCCUCUAGCGCCCGAGAACAAUGAAAUUACAGAGUUAUUUGAAUUGCACAUUACUCAUUGGCAAGGUUUGAAGUACUGCCCAACAUUUUAUUGCUAACAGAUUUUUCUCGGGCCACAUUUUGUUUUGCUUAAAGGGGCAGUCACAUCCUUUCCAAUCCACUUAGAAACUCUGGUGUCAUUUUAUCGCUCCCGGAUCACUGCCAACGGUAUCGAAAAUCCCACAGUGGCACCCUCUACCCUCCUCCUGUUAGGGCGUGACAUCAUGCCGAUCUCGUUGUCGCCGGAGCGUCUGCGACUGCAGGGGGGACUGCACUGAUCCGUAAAAUUCGCUUAUUUAAAGUAGCGCAGAAGUCUUUAGCAGCAUGUUUUCUUUCUACAAAACGGUUAAGUAGGCAAGUAGAAAGCACCGUGAGGAGUAAUUCACCCCACGCAGCCAUAAUUAUCGCAGAAAUUGAAUUUGAAGUAUGCCAAAAAAAAAAGCGACCGUGCACAAUGGUGGUAGAGGAGCAGUACGAGCCUGUGAACUUGCGCUGACGCUGCAGGGCCCCCCGGGCUCGCUGAUUGGUUCAGAGAAAUGUCGUCUGCUUGUCAGCUGUUCGGGGCUCUGAAGAAGCAUUGCCCACAGGGAAAUGCCCGCGUGACAACGAAAUCGUCCGUGCUCGCGCUCACCUUUUCAAUUCCUAAUCCCCCCGAGGGGGCAGGUUUACCAACUUCAGAAGAAGAAAGCCCUCGUGCACAAAAAGUAAGAGACAGGCUCUGACCUCGACUGACUGCUCAGAAGUUACGGCGUCAUUAGUCAUUCCUCUCCUCCUCGUCGCACCCCAGGUGGCGAGUCGAGAGUGAACGAGCACGGUUGCGUUUGUGUACGUUUCUUUUUUUUUCUCUUUUUUUUUUUCUGUUAAAAAAAAGUACGUGCAUCGAAACCACCUGUGCUGUUCGGCAAAUUGACUCAUAUACUUUCAUCGGAUGUCUUAAACUGAAAAUAUUUUGGAUGGCCCCUCCGUACUCCUUUAAUACUGAAGAACUUUUGGGACUCGAAAAAAUAGCCGAGCGGAUUGUGAUGCGGCUGUCCCUUCCCCAUCACCGUUGCAGUAAAAUAUAUGCAGUAAACGUAACAUAUGCAGUAAAAUAUGUACUCUGACUUCAGGGAUUUUGCUACCAAUGGUGUUUGCCGCUCGUUUUUCAGGUACCAAAAAGACGCACAGGUGCCAGUACUGCAGCUACUCGUCCAUCUUCAAGACCCAUGUGGCGCGUCACGAACGGGGCCACACGGGACAGCGCCCCUUCCCGUGCCCUCGCUGCAGCGCUGCGUUCACCACAAACUACAAACUGCAGUCCCACCUGCGACGUAAGGGUGUCCACAUCGAGAGGUACUCCUGCAUCCACUGCACCAUGAGGUUCAGUCAGAUCGCGGAGUGGAAGCGACAUCAACAGCUGCACACGCUAGCGGCCGUGUGAACGUCAGCCACCUGGGAUUUCAGUUUGAAAUGUGGCUUUACAUCCAAGCGCUACCUGUGCAGUUAUUGUCCGUAUUCUACCGACUUCCGUGCGCAUAUGAGACAACACGAGAGGACCCAUACUGGCGAACGUCCCUUUCCGUGCAGCAUCUGCCCCGCAGCUUUCACGCAGAAGGCGCACAUGACGACGCACAUGCGAAUGCACACGGGUGAGAGGCCAUACAGGUGCACAAUGUGCUUUGUGCGUUUCAGGGACCGACGGAACUGGAAGAAACACAUGACCGAGCACCGCUGAUUAAAAAAUGUAA